rnacentral:misc_RNA from 1 species
GAUGAAGAACGUAGCGAAAUGCGAUAAGUAAUGCGAAUUGCAGAAUCCGUGAAUCAUCGAGUCUUUGAACGCACAUUGCGCCCCCUGGUAUUCCGGGGGGCAUGCCUGUCCGAGCGUCAUUGCUGCCCUCAAGCACGGCUUGUGUGUUGGGCCCCGUCCUCCGAUCCCGGGGGACGGGCCCGAAAGGCAGCGGCGGCACCGCGUCCGGUCCUCGAGCGUAUGGGGCUUUGUCACCCGCUCUGUAGGCCCGGCCGGCGCUUGCCGAUCAACCCAAAUUUUUAUCCAGGUUGACCUCGGAUCAGGUAGGGAUACCCGCUGAACUUAAGCAUAUCAAUAAGCGGAGGA